AGGAGCCAAACCCAACAUCUGUGAUGGGAACUUCAACACUCUAGCUAUUCUUCGAAGGGAGAUGUUUGUUUUCAAGGCCCUCACCCAGUUAGGAGUCAAAAAAAAAAAAAAAAAUCCUAAAAAUCACAUGCACAAAUGGGCGUCAGUGUCUAGCAGAAGAUUGCAUGACAUUCUAUUUUGGGAAUGCACUUCUGUCAGCAGGAGCUGAAAUGACUGUAAAUGUGAAGUUCAAAGUACUGCAUGUUAUGAAGAGAUAAAAUAGCAGAAUUUAAAUCAUGAAUGGGAUUUAAUAGCGCCGAUUUGCCCGUCAGUUUAGCUACUUCCCAGCAUCCUGUUGCGCAGAUGCAUUACUAUAUAAACCUUAAAAUGAUUCUAUAAUUUCACUUGACAAUUACUGCAUUGCUUAGCUGUCAUUGUUGGGUCUGUCAUUGUCACGGUCAUUGUUGUUGUUGUCGUUUUCCUUUUGUCGUUUUGUUUGUGGUUCCCUGCUGUCCAUUUUAGGUAAAUCUCUAGUCGUCCAUCACUUCCAAUUUGUAGAACUUGGGUUGUU
rnacentral:lncRNA from 1 species